rnacentral:rRNA from 1 species
UUCCUACGGGGCGCAGCAGUGGGGAAUAUUGCACAAUGGGGGAAACCCUGAUGCAGCGACGCCGCGUGGGCGAGGAAGUACCUCGGUAUGUAAAGCCCUAUCAGCAGGGAAGAAACAGGACAGUACCUGACUAAGAAGCCCAGGCUAACUACGUGCCAGCAGCCGCGGUAAUACGUAGGGGGCAAGCGUUAUCCGGAUUUACUGGGUGUAAAGGGAGCGUAGACGGUUACGCAAGUCUGGAGUGAAAGGCGGGGGCCCAACCCCCGGACUGCUUUGGAAACUGUAUAACUGGAGUGCAGGAGAGG